CCUACGGGAGGCAGCAGUGAGGAAUAUUGGACAAUGGGCGCAAGCCUGAUCCAGCCAUGCCGCGUGCAGGAAGACGGUCCUAUGGAUUGUAAACUGCUUUUGUACAGGAAGAAACACUCCCUCGUGAGGGAGCUUGACGGUACUGUAAGAAUAAGGAUCGGCUAACUCCGUGCCAGCAGCCGCGGUAAUACGGAGGAUCCAAGCGUUAUCCGGAAUCAUUGGGUUUAAAGGGUCCGUAGGCGGUUUAAUAAGUCAGUGGUGAAAUCUGGUCGCUCAACGAUCAAACGGCCAUUGAUACUGUUAGACUUGAAUUAUUAGGAAGUAACUAGAAUAUGUAGUGUAGCGGUGAAAUGCUUAGAUAUUACAUGGAAUACCAAUUGCGAAGGCAGGUUACUACUAAUGGAUUGACCGCUGAUGGACGAAAGCGUGGGGAGCGAACAGGUAUUAGACUACCCGUGGUAGUCCACGCCGUAAACG
rnacentral:rRNA from 1 species